rnacentral:rRNA from 1 species
AUGCAUAUUGAUGUGACGAUCGAAGAGGUUGACGGAUAUAAGUGGAGACUCACAGGUAUCUAUGGCGAGCCCAGACCCGAUAAUAGGGAAGAGACGUGGCGACUGUUAUGCACUCUACAUCAGCAAGAAAAGCUACCUUGGGUGUGUAUAGGGGAUUUCAAUGAGAUCCUAUACAACUUUGAGAAGCAAGGAGGGGUGCCCAGAGCUCACAGCCAAAUGGAUCGUUUUCAUGAUGCUUUAAACUUUUGUAACCUAAACGACCUGGGUUUCGAGGGGGACGUAUUUACUUGGCGUAAUGGUUAUAUUCGUGAGCGCCUGGACAGGGCUGUUGCAAAUCCACAAUGGUGUAUGCGUUUUCCAGGUUACAAGGUGCGGAACGGUUGCCCUGAACACUCUGACCAUCGCCCAGUUAUU